rfam:Solanum tuberosum cultivar DM 1-3 516 R44 scf00864_4, whole genome shotgun sequence.
CGACCCUAGGUCAGGCGAGAUUACCCGUUGAGUUUAAGCAUAUCAAUAAGCAGAGGAACAAACCUUAUAAGGAUUCCCUUAGUAACGGCGAGCGAACCAGGAACAACCCAACCUUAUAAUCGGGAAGCUCCGUCGUCCAAAUUGUAGUAUGGAGAAGCGUCCUCAACGGUGGACCGGGCCCAAGUCCCCUAGAAGGGAGCACCAAAAAGGGUGAGAGCCCCGUUGUGUCCGGACCCUGUCGCACCACGAGGCGCUAUCUAUGAAUUGGGCUGUUUGGGAAUGCAGCGCAAAUCGGGCGGUGAAUUCUGUCAAAGGUUAAAUACGGGCGAGAAACCGAUAACAAACAAGUACCAUGAGGGAAAGAUGCAAAAGGACUUUGAAAAGAGAGUCAAAGAGUGCUUGAAAUUGUCGGGAUGGAAGAAGAUGGGGGUCGACGAUGCGCCCCGGUCAGAUGUGGAACGGUGACGAGCCGAUCCACCGAUCGGCCAAUGGAAGACAACAUCAGUGAAGGCCUACACGUAUCGAACAUGGCCUAUGCUCAUCGGCCAACCGACGCCGGCCAACGACAGGAAGCAUCAUCCAAGGCCUGAUGUGGCAUGUGCGCAUCGGCUGGGCGACAUUGGUCGUGGCCUGCAUGCAUCAACCAGACGUCAUAGGCCAUGGCCUACGCACAUCUGGCAGGUGACAUAGGUCGUGGCAUGCACGCAUCGGCCAAUCGACAUAGGUCGUGGCCUGCGCGCAUCAGCCAGGCCACAUAGGUCAUGGCAUGCGCAUCGGUCAUGUGACAUAGGCCGUGGACUGCCCACAUCGAUCGUGGCCUGUGCACAUCAAUCAACCGACGUCGAUCGUGGCCUACCCGCAUCAUCUGUGCCCUGCUCCAUCGAUCAACCGACAUAGUGUCACGACCCGAGAGCAUCCCCAAGUUGUAACAUGCGUAUUCGUCCUAUCGGAGGUCUCAUACAAGCCCUUAGCAUUCAUCACAUUAGAUAUGUAAAAUAGUGCGGAAUAAAAAAAACUCUUUAAAUAAAAUCCCAUAAGACUCAAAGGUCACUUUUAAAAACAUCAUUCAAAAGUACACAAGCGGAAUACUAAGUCUCUUAGCCAUCUUAGACAUAAACGUGAAAACAUACUAGGGACACGGCCCUUUACAAUCAAAAGAAGUCUAUUAAGUCUAUUACAAGAACCUUAUCAUAAAACUAGAAUAGAAAAGUCUUGUCCUCGACAUAUGAGGACAUACCACAAGAUCUUGGAAGAACUUCAAGUUCCAAGCUUACUAUAGAACCCGUUCACUUUCCGGAACCUACACUUGUAAAAAAAAGGAAGAGAAAUAUGGAAUUAGCGCAAUUAAGUACUAAGUAUGAUGACCAUGCAAAAACAUGCUAAAAAGGACCUUUAUUUGAAAUAUAUGCUUUCAUGCCAUUUUUGAUAAAACCUUCAUAUCACAAUUAUAAGAGACACAUUUCACGUCAUCAUCCACAUAUAAGACAAUACCCACAUAAUAGACAUACUCAACUAGUACCAAUGUACAAUACAUGAACAUAAUCGACAAGUAAGCCUUUUCAUCAUUUCAUGACCUCUAUCUCAAGUUACCCAAAGCCACACUUAUGUGAAACAUGAAGUGACCGCCCAUACAAUCUCUUUAUAUACACCUAAGUGUUCCUAAGGGUUACCAUAGAUAAGGAAUGUACCAUUACAAUAUAACAUACUAAAUCAAAAUUCUUUAAUGAACCACUUUAAGAGACAUUUAAGCAUUUAGGGGACUUCCACUUAAUAGUCAUUUAGACUUAGGGAACUCACUUUAGCAUCUUCUAGGCCUACUCGUGCAAUGUGUAGAUAGCAUCCCAUACUACCACCUACACUUUGUAGAACCUAUCCAAUAACUAGAGUGCACAUCCCACAUGAUGGGAAUAGACAUAACCGACAUAGACCAUACUAGCUAGGCAUGGAAUCCGGAGUCUACCCUACUCCGUGGAAGGUGUUCUACUUGCCAAAGGUAGAACUAAUAAUCAACCCAUGUAGGCACAUGGUUUAGGGGAUGUCCAAGGAAGUUCAUUGUGCCUAAUCUCAUACUCAACUAGGCCACCUUCCUAACCACAUCCACUCGGUGCUAGCCUUGUUUCCCAUAGAGUAUUCAAUCACAUAUGUACUUAGAGAGGGUUCCUUUUCUAGUUCAACCAACUCAUAGUACCUCUUCCCAAGAAAGGCCCCAUUUCUUAGUCAUGGCCAAUCAAGGUUCAUAAGGAUAGCUCAUUUAACUUUCUUAGAUAAGGAUUCCCAUGCUGUUCCGGCUCUAUCCAUCUCUAAGUCUAUCAUUUCACUCAAGAAG